rnacentral:rRNA from 1 species
AUGGCGACCCCCGCGAUCGCGCUGCUUGAUCAGAGCCUGCCGUUCGGCGGCGGCGGCUCGGACCGGCUCAGCAAGGAGAUCUUCUCCAUCCUCGAGUCCAACUUCCUGUUCGGCGCGCAGGCGCUGGAGCCGGCCGGGGCGUGCUCGGCGGGCCGCGUGCGCGUGCUCUCCAUCGACGGGGGCGCGGACGGCGGCGCGCUCGCCGCGGCCGCGCUGGUCAGGCUCGAGCGCCGGCUGCAGGAGCUGUCGGGCAGCCCCGAGGCCCGCGUCGCGGACUACUUCGACGUGGCGGCCGGGUCCGGCGCCGGCGGGUUCCUCGCGGCCGCGCUGUUCGCGCGCCGGAUGCCGGCGGAGGCCGCGCGCGACGUCGUGGCCAAGAACCGCAAGGUGUUCUCUGGGCGCCAUGGGCGUGGUGGGCUGUUCAACAGGCCCGAGGCGGUGUUUAAGAAGGUGUUCGGGGACCUCACCGUGCGCGACGCGGCCAAGCCGCUGCUGAUCCCCUGCUACGACAUGGCCACGGCCGCGCCGUUCGUCUUCUCCCGCGCCGACGCCGUCGAGGCCGAGGCGUUCGACUUCCCGCUCUGGCAGGUCUGCGCGGCCGCGUGCGGGGUGGGGCCGGCUGAGGUGGCGUCCCUCGACGGGCGCACCAGGCUGCGCGCCGCCGCGGCGGCAGGCGGGACCGGCGCCGGCGUGGCCAACCCGACCGCCGUGGCCGUCACCCACGUGCUCCACAACAAGCGCGAGUUCCCCUUCGCCGCCGGCGCCGGCGACCUCGUCGUGCUGUCCCUCGGCGGGAACGCCGCCGCCGGCUCGGGCGCCCGCGCGUCGUCCUCCAGCCUCCUGCGCAUCGCCGGCGCGUGCCAGGCCGACAUGGUGGACCAAGCCGUAUCAAUGGCGUUCGGAGAGAACAGAGCAACCAACUACAUCCGCAUCCAGGGCAACGGCAUUACCGCCGGAGCGACGGCGGAGGCGGCCAUGGCGGAGCGUGGGGUGGAGUCGGUCCUGUUCCGGGGCAAGAAGCUGAUGCCGCAGACCAACGGCGAGCGGCUGGACGGCGUGGCGGAGCAGCUGGUGCGGGAGCAGCACCGGAGGAUGGACAGCAAGACGCCGGUGGUGCUCAUCAAGCCGUCGGCGACGCCCAGGACGUCCUCCUCGUCGGCGUCCACGCUCAUCACCGUGUCCACCAACUCCUCCUCGGAGUCGCCCGCGGAAGAAAGAGGAGAGUGGUCGGAGUGGAAUGUGAAAGAUUUCUCUAGCUAG